CACCAAGAAGCUUAUAGAGCAUUAGCCUUUUAAGCUAAAGAAGAAACGGGACUUUCCUUGAUGA
rnacentral:tRNA from 1 species